rnacentral:rRNA from 1 species
CCUACGGGCUGCAGCAGUGGGGAAUAUUGCACAAUGGGCGCAAGCCUGAUGCAGCCAUGCCGCGUGUAUGAAGAAGGCCUUAGGGUUGUAAAGUACUUUCAGUUGGGAGGAAGGCGUUGAUGCUAAUAUCAUCAACGAUUGACGUUACCAACAGAAGAAGCACCGGCUAACUCCGUGCCAGCAGCCGCGGUAAUACGGAGGGUGCAAGCGUUAAUCGGAAUUGCUGGGCGUAAGGCGCACGCAGGCGGUUGAUUAAGUUAGAUGUGAAAUCCCCGGGCUUAACCUGGGAAUGGCAUCUAAGACUGGUCAGCUAGAGUCUUGUAGAGGGGGGUAGAAUUCCACGUGUAGCGGUGAAAUGCGUAGAGAUGUGGAGGAACACCAGUGGCGAAGGCGGCUCUCUGGUCUGUAACUGACGCUGAGGCGCGAAAGCGUGGGGAGCAAACAGGAUUAGAUACCCCUGUAGUC